rnacentral:pre_miRNA from 1 species
AAAAAGGCAAACCCUGGGUUUCCGUGUCCAAUUUUGACUGUCCGUUUUAUGUGAAAUUUUUUAUAAUUCAUAUUUUUAUUGUUGUUAGAUGAUAAAAUAUGAUUAAUAUUUUAUGCGUGACUUGUCUUUUUAAUUUUUUUUAAAAUUUUUUCAAAUAAGACGGACGGUCAAACGUUGGGCACGGAAACC